rnacentral:rRNA from 1 species
UACGAAGGGGGCUAGCGUUGCUCGGAAUUACUGGGCGUAAAGGGCGCGUAGGCGGCGCUGCAAGUCAGGCGUGAAAUUCCUGGGCUUAACCUGGGGGCUGCGCUUGAGACUGUGGUGCUAGAGGACGGAAGAGGGUCGUGGAAUUCCCAGUGUAGAGGUGAAACUCGUAGAGAUCGGGAAGAACGCCAAGGGCGAAGGCACUCUGCUAGGCCUGAUUUCGCGACUGACACUCAGGGACGAGAGCCAGGGGAGCGAAUGGG